rnacentral:lncRNA from 1 species
AUGGAGGUUCCGGAUGAACCCCUCCCUGUCCCAAUAACAGAUCCCCAUCCUGGGCCUGGUCAGCUCUCAUCUCGGGGUCAGUUGCCGGGACAACCAGAGUUAGGAAACUGUAAAGAACCACCAUCCCAUGCAUCACCUAGUCUGGGAAGUAGCGAGAGCCAGAAUGGAGGAUCAGAGAUCCAACAUGGUGUCGUUAAUCAGCUGAGCCGGGCGUUGAUAUCUGUAGUUGCCUGUGAGCAGAAUGGCACAGACAGGGACGGAGAGGAAACUGAAAGUGGCAGCCAUUUUGUGUCAGCGACUGUGGGCCGGGAUUGGUUGGCUGAGGUAAAGGAGAAGUGUCUGGCACCUGGCUGUGUCGUACGGUUAGAGAGAGUGGACAAACUGCACCAGGACACCACAUACUCAUCCUGCAUCGACCUCACACCCUGUCCUGACAGCGCUCACUCACACGACCACCGGGAAUCUGCGGACCUCGCGACCCAGACUGAUCAGCCCAGCGUUCAGAUUAUCUCAGACGAUGAUGAGCCUUUUGAGUGCAACACCAGGCAGGUGAAUGGCGGUCAGUGUAAGUACCAAACACAGUCAGUGAAUGGCGGUCAGUACAUCCGAAGGGAUCGCUCAAGCAUCCGAAUGAUCUCAGUCAACAGUGAGAACACUAGGCUGACCGAUGAAGGUCAGUCCCUGGACUCUACUCUGUCUAGGUGCCAGAACAGUAAGGAGGCGUUCAGCCUGGAGGCCAAAUUUAAGCAGAAAUGUCUGGAGGUUGACUGUCAGGUUCUGCUGGAGAGGCUGACCACAACCCACCCACCCACAGAAACUUUACAUUCCUCCUCUUUGCUCAGUCACACACGGUCAGACAGCGGUACUUCUGGAAAAACCGACCGCUCCUACAACCACAAGACACAUUCAGACAGCGUUCAAUCUGAAGACCGGACUCGGCCAGCUAACGUGGCAAGGAAAAAAAAAGUUCCCAAAAAAUGGAAGGCCGGCAUGGUUCCCAAGGAAAGGAAGCGUAGGAGCAUGUCGAAGGACCGGGGUGGGGUUCGUCCACGGACCAGUCGAAAAGCUUGUGUGAGUGGAAUGAGUGUUGGCCGGUGGGGUGGGAGAGACAGAGUUUCCAAAGCAGCGCCUCCCCAUGGCCAAGCUGGGGACUCCAGCAUCACCGAACUGCUGUCUGCACAACACACUCACAAGGUGAGGAACACCUGCAUGCACGCAACACAUGAACACGCGACACGUGAAGAAAUAAAUGUUAACCUGAUGUUAUAUAUUACAGGUGAUAGUGAUGUUUAUGCAUCACAGGUGAUAGUGAUGUUUAUGCAUCACAUGUGA